rnacentral:rRNA from 1 species
UACGUAGGCAGCGAGCGUUGUUCGGAAUUACUGGGCGUAAAGAGUGUGUAGGCGGUGCUCUAAGUUCGGUGUGAAAUCUCCUGGCUCAACUGGGAGGGUGCGCCGGAAACUGGAGUGCUUGAGCGUGGGAGAGGAGAGUGGAAUUCCCAGUGUAGAGGUGAAAUUCGUAGAUAUCGGGAGGAACACCGGUGGCGAAGGCGGCAUCCUGGACCGACACUGACGCUGAGGAGCGAAAGCCAGGGGAGCAAACGGG